CCUCGCCCCUUGCCCGAGCUUGGCCUCUGCGUGUCCUCUCCCCCCCCCCGCGUUGUUCCCCCGCCCCGCGUUGUCCUCUGCGUGUCCUUCCCCCACCCCGCGCUGGCCUCUGCGUGUCCUCUCCCCCCCCCCGCGUUGUUCCCCCCGCCCCGCGUUGUCCUCUGCGUGUCCUUCCCCCGCCCCCCGCGCUGGCCUCUGCGUGUCCUCUCGCCGCUCUGCGUGAGUGGCUGCGCGAGCAUCGCUGGAGGUCAGCGCUGGUCGGCGGGUUUCCAGCGGGAAAGCCGGAGAUGCUUCUCCCCAUCCCUUGUCCAACCCCCCCGCCCCCCGCUUUGGAGAAUCCAGUUUAUUUCCAUGGCACGACCUGCAACGCGCUGCUUGUCUGUGCCGGUGCGAGCACACGCCGACACAGGAACGUUUUCACACAUCUUUAUGGUGUUAGGAGUCCAACAUCUGAGUUCACCCUGGACCCGAAGAACCAAAACCGGCAAAAGUCUCCGCAGUGGACUCCACGGAGUCCCCUCAGCUACGGGAAGGCGCCGCCUGGGCCGUGUGCUUCCCUCUCAGGUCUGCGCCAAUCGGUCCCGACAUGACCGAGCCCGGCCGCAGCCCCAGAACCUUCCUCAACAUGAUGCUAUAGAGUCUAGACGGCCGUCGCCAGCCGCUCAAACUUGGUACCUGACGUGAAAUUAUUUACCAUUCCCUUAGAGUCAGAAGGUCUCGUUCUUCUCCGAUAUUUCCACUAAGUAUAAUUUAUAAUACUUCCCUAAGCUAUAGAAAGAUUUUUUAAAGAUGACUGCAGGAGUUCCCAUUGGGGUGCAGUGGAAAUGAGUCCAACUAGGAACUGUGAGGAUGUGGGUUUGAUCCCUGGCCUCGUCCAGUGGGUUAAGGAUCCAGCGUUGCCAUGAGCUGCAGAGUAGAUCGAAGACACAGCUUGGAUCCCGAGUUGCUGUGGCUGUGGUGUGGGCUGGCGGCUGUAGCUCUGAUUUGACCCCUAGCCUGGGAACCUCCACAUGCUGCUAGUGCGGCCCUAAAAAGCAAAAGCAAAAAAAAAAAAAGACCACAAAGGGAAACUUUUAAAGUUGUUCUGAUAGUUUAAAUAUUUACAGUCUAAAGUCUAGCUGCUUUUCUGGCUGAUACAAUUGUACAAUACUCUUCAAGAUAUUUUGACAUUUAUAUCUUUCCUAAAGACUUUGUACUCAUGGACCGAUAAUUAUCUGUGACUAAAGAUCUAUAUUCGAUGUUAAUAUUCCCUGGCUAAUCAGUGGAAAUGUAUGUAUUUUUUGUUAGUGGAACACAACCCUGUCUUAACGUUCUGUGUCUUGGUGAUCACAAGGGGGGACCUUUGUCUUACCACGUAUUGAAAUUUUAAUCAUUAAAACAUUCUCUGUAGGAAGAACCAUCUAAAAAAAGUCUAAAUGUUACCCAUUUUUUCACCAUCCUCCUCUUUUCCAUCCCAAGAUCAAAGUUUUCGAAACAACACCCUUGGUUUUUUAUGGUUUAGAAAAGGAAAUGGCAGGGAACGAGGUGCAUUAUUUCUAGAGCUCGAAUAGUUUCGAGGUGGGAAGGGAUCACUUACCUGUCAAACAGUUAAAACCGUCUUUUAGUUGUGAUAUGGUACUACCUGUAUCUGAUAUGAGUAAAGUCACUUAACAUCUACAUGUAUAGUGAAGACAGUUUAUUAUCUCAAGAAAUUACUACCCAGCCAUGUGAAAAUGUAUUUGCAAAAUUCCCCAGUGAGACUGUAUAAAUGCAAAGUAAGAGGUUUACACCAAGAGCUGCUCAAGAAAAUGGAAAAGUUCUUUAGGAGCAAGGUCCUGAGUCCUGAGUCCUGAGUGAGAAUCAGAUGGGGGAGGAGGAGUGCGAGUGGCAGGAGAGUGAGCGGGCUGGCCUGAGCGGAGGCGCAGAGGAGGAACCGAGCGUGCCGUACUUAGGACAAAGGUCAGGAUACAGCACCUGCAGCGCGGACAGUCAUGGAGUGAGUGAUGGAUUGCCAAACAGAGUUUGAGCUUUGUUUAGAAUUAUGUAUUGAGAUCAGCCCUGUCACAGUCUAUAAAGCCAGUAGGUUUUUAUUCAUGUUUUACAAGCAGAGGUACACGAAUCUAGCUGUGAAUCCUUGCUAUCCAAGGGUGAGUUUCUCAUCUAAUGUCACAGGAGCUGGGAAACAAGCACGGGACUUAAGAGUUUCAACUGGAUUUCCAUUCUGGGGCUACCACUUACAGCUGAUGAUUUUUCUGUGCUGCUUAGCCCCUCUGAACCUUGGUUUCUCCAUGAGGAUAAUCUGACACAGUUUCUGAGGCUGGGGAGGGAGAUAGUCGUAACUCAUCGUGUCUUUCCCUUCCAGUCCAGUUUUGUGAUCAGUUAGGUGAGCAGCACAGGAUUGGGAGAGAAGGAGAGCCAAAUGGUGGCUUCACUGGCAGCCACUCACUCUAGAUUCCCAAACAAGGUUCAGAUCUGUGGCACAAGAGGGCUUCCUAGUCCUGAAGUGAAGGAGUGAUAGUGUCCAGAAGUUUCAUCUAGAGAGAGCUGACUGCUUUCCUGAAUAUGUGAGACAGACAUCCUCUGGAAAUGACUAGAAAUAUUUAGGUGACGGGAUGAGGCAUUUCCUAGGGUUGUCUUCAGCAAGAAUGAUUGGGGUUGAGGGCACAAGGCAGCAUAUUACUGUCAAAAUGGCCCCAUUUUAAACUCGGGGGGGGGGCAGUGGAAAUGUACAACACCCAAAGAAGCCAGUGAGAUUAUCACAGAGGCAGAUAGAGAGCCUGGUGGGAGCACAAAGGAGAGAGAAACAGUCAACUCUACCUGGAAAGAAGAGUGAGCAGGAAAGGUUUCAGAGCCCUGGUGGUUUAAGUAGGAAGGAAAACCAGGCUGUAUCCUUUCCAUCACUUUUAAGAGCAUCCAAAUGAAUUCUUGGAUCUGGCUGCUGAGAAAAUAUAUGAGUCAUAACCUAGGAUCAGCUGGAUAUAAGCGGUUUCCACCAGCAGUCCAUGAAAACCAAUGUUUUUAAGCAUCUAUUGGGCCACUGCAACAAUCAGCAAGAUGUUUAAACAGUUGAUUCCAUUGUCAGCCCAGCCAGUUUUUAACUGUAUCACAAAAACUAGCCUGGGGAUGCAGCCCGCGAUUAUUCCAGCCCUGCCAGAAAUUCCCUUUCUGUUACAAAUUUCUGCCCCAGUGGGGUUUUCAUAGUUUUGGCAUUUUUGUUAUGGAUCAGUGAAUCAGCUAGCCUACAGGCCAAGGAGAGAGAGAGAAAAAAUAAACCUCCCAAAUGAAAAUCAACCCACUUAGGAUGUCUUCAUCUAUUUUUCAGUGGGAGAAAAAUACAGCUGGGUUCAGCGAUUUCUACCAAAAAGCAAGCAUCCCUAGUUGGAUUGGUUUGGGGUUCUUUUUGUUGUCGUGUUGUUUCUGUUUUUGGGGUUCUGUACUCUCAACUUUUGGGGGGCAUAAUAAAGACCAGCCUCAGCAGCAUCACUUAGAAGAUUUAGUUAUUUUGCAAAGCUUGGGUAGUGACACUUCUGCAAAAUGCACAAGCGCAUGAGCAAACAUAGAGAUGUGUGAAUUCAGGAAAGCAGCCAAAUGCACAUCAGAGCUGAGGAAUGUCAGAGUGAAAUGAAGGCAACUUGUAAACACCUAUCAUUAUUUUUAGGUAGAGAAUGUUCUAACAUAUUGCCAGUGGGUGCUGCCUGUGCAUUCAUUUCCCUAAGCUUUAAAAUCAACUGGUAUUAAAGGUGAUUUGAAAACAAUGAGAAAUGACAGCUUUAUUAAUCUAGAUGGUGUAAGAGUGUGUGCAUGUGUGUGUGCGUGCGUGUGUGUGUGUGUGUGUGUGUAGUGUGUGCAGUGUUGACUGGCUGCAUGUAUACACUGCAUGUGUCAUACAGGUCUUAGACAGACGAGGGAGCCCUCUACUGAUUAGAAACGGAAUCAAAGGUAAACCGUAGAGUUGCUUUUAGUGUCUUGCUUGUCUGUCUUCCAAAAAGCCAGACAUUUUUCUCAUUUCUUUGACAGAUCACAAGAGGAGACUCUCUUGGAAGGAACUAUAGCUGUCAGUCAUCGUAUGCGUGCAAGUACAUACAAAUCUACUUAAGGUAAAAGACCUUCAGGUUACUUAAAAGUGUAUCUGUGUCUACUCUUCAACCUUUAGCAUAAAGGUGCUUGUACUGUAACGCUAUUAAACCACAAAUGUCCGCAUGACUCUGAUGAAAAUGUGUGACAGAGAGAAGAUCACAAAAGCGUUUGUCUGUGAUAGUACUUUGCUUUACCAGACGUUCUUUUUCCCUGGUGGGUAUAUUAUUUAUUUUACACAUUUUUCCCAAAUAGGAAAGAGGACAAUUUCCAGGAUGGCAACUGUGGCUAAUUCUUAUGAGCAUAUUUAAGUGGACUGUAUUUUAAUCAUAUUGCGCCGGUCGGCCUAGUUAUACACUGAGAUCUGUAUGUAGUCAAGUAUGGUAUAUAGUUCUUUUUGUGUUUAGAGAUCUGAUUUUUAACUUUAUAGUUUUGCAGACUCCAGUUGACCCCUUCCAUCAUUUAAAUCAAUGGAAGAAAAUGAAAUAUAACCAGAAAUACUGUUAUUUUCAACAUGGCUGCCCAACAACGUUAUGGGUUAUUAUGGGAUGGUCUUCCUUACCCCCCAGAUACUGAUUUUACUAGACUGUUUAUUAUUGGAGGCUAGCACCUCUAGCCUUUAGCAAAGAGUGACGAUUUUUCUAGGAAAUUGUUUUUUUAUGAAUUAAGAAAGGAGCCUUUGUGAAAUCAGUGUUUUUCGUAGAAAGUCAACGCCAGCCUGGCACUAUGUGUUGUUAACGAGCUACAGCUGGGGCUAACCUGGCAGGAUAACGUGAGUGUGCUGUAGCUUUAACGCCUGUCCCCUUCCGACCACCGGCACUGAUCCGGCUUCUGUGCCCGUGCCCCCUUCCUCUCCCACUGGUCCGUCGUUCCUUCUGUGGUUCCAACAGCGAAGGAGCCUUCGCCCGUCUCUCAUUUGAGGCUGAAAUGUGAAACGAUACGCCAGGUAAAUGCAGAUGAUCAUUUUACUCUAUUGAAUAACAGGCUCAGUUUACAGAAUGCUUAACUGUGCCAAUCUCUUUCCAGAACGUAACGUAAACCUUAUUAGAAACUUGCAAGGCAAAUGUCAUCGCCCCCAGUUUUUUUGUUGGUUUUCUUUUUCUUGCAAAUGAUAAAUCCUAUUCAAACAAAGUGAAGCAGAAGAAGGGAGCUUCAUUAGAAGGUGCUGAAUGCCUCACGGAAUCCAGCGGUCGGGUGGUGCCAUUUUUAUAGGUUCAUUGUAAAUCAACUGUGGUUUAGGAGCUCCCGUCGUGGCUCAGUGGUAAUGAAACUAACUGGUAUCCACGAGGACACAGGUUCAUUCCUUGGCCUCGCUCAGUAGGCUAAGGAUCCAGCAUUACCGUGAGCUGUGGUGCAGGUCGCAGACAUGGCUGGGAUCUGGCAUCGCUGUGGCCGUGGUGGAGGCUGGCAGCUGCAGCUCCGAUUCGACCCCUAGCCUGGGGACCUCCAUAUGCCACGGGUGCAACCCUGAAGAG
rnacentral:lncRNA from 1 species